CCUACGGGUGGCCGCAGUGGGGAAUAUUGGACAAUGGGGGCAACCCUGAUCCAGCCAUGCCGCGUGUGUGAAGAAGGCCCUCGGGUUGUAAAGCACUUUCAGUGAGGAAGAACGCCUGGUGGUUAAUACCCAUCAGGAAAGACAUCACUCACAGAAGAAGCACCGGCUAACUCCGUGCCAGCAGCCGCGGUAAUACGGAGGGUGCGAGCGUUAAUCGGAAUUACUGGGCGUAAAGCGCGCGUAGGUGGCUUGAUAAGCCGGUUGUGAAAGCCCCGGGCUCAACCUGGGAACGGCAUCCGGAACUGUCAAGCUAGAGUGCAGGAGAGGAAGGUAGAAUUCCCGGUGUAGCGGUGAAAUGCGUAGAGAUCGGGAGGAAUACCAGUGGCGAAGGCGGCCUUCUGGACUGACACUGACACUGAGGUGCGAAAGCGUGGGUAGCAAACAGGAUUAGAUACCCUUGUAGUC
rnacentral:rRNA from 1 species